ACGCUCGACACCUACGGGAGGCAGCAGUGGGGAAUAUUGCACAAUGGGGGAAACCCUGAUGCAGCGACGCCGCGUGAGCGAAGAAGUAUUUCGGUAUGUAAAGCUCUAUCAGCAGGGAANAAAUGACGGUACCUGACUAAGAAGCCCCGGCUAACUACGUGCAAGCAGCCGCGGUAAUCUGAGGCGGGCUGGCAAGGC
rnacentral:rRNA from 1 species